UAAUAAUGCAAUAUUCAAAAAUAGCUAAAUUACCAAAGAAAAAUAUAAAUAUAUCUUUUUUAUAUUUUCAAAAAUCUAUAUUUUAUUCUCUUAAUAUUUCAAGUUGCUGCAUUUGACCCCUCUGUUAGGAUUUCAUCACUAUUUUGUUUAUAUUUUUAUAGUUUAUACAUGCAGAGCUACUAUGCUAUUGAAAGUAUAGCGCAUUACCAAUCCUAGAGCAAGUGGCAAAGGGCUUGGUGGUUGAUACCCGAGACACAAGUUCGAAUCCUAGUUGAUUUACAUUUUCAGCUAAGUUUAUUUCUAAAUGAAAUAAAUGAAGUGGGUAGCAUGCUACCUAUCUCUCAAAAAAAAAAAAAGAAAGAAGAAAGUAUAGCGCAUUUGAUGCUUCCGAUUUUUUGACCUUUGGAUUAAGAAUUGUACGGUUGGAAUGAUUGCGGUCCUCCUUAGGGUUGAGUAGUACAGCUAGGGUUCAGUGAUCCCUACAGGAUAAUAAUAUUAAUCUAAAGAUUAGAAAUAAUUAAAAAGACCGAUCUAAGGGCCAAAAAAUCAGAAGCAAAAAUCAGAAGUAUCAGAUUCUCUAUACUUCCGAUAGUAUAGUAACUCUAUUAUAAUUUAUACAAAAAAUUUCCUUCAAAAUAACAUAAAUAUAUUAGAAAAUUAUUUUUUUUCUUAUGGGAAAAGCAAGGGCAAUUUGGUUAUUUCGUUUCUCCAUUAACACCGUACUCCAUUUCUGAAAUUUUAAGAGAAUAAAAUAUAAGUUUUUGAAAGUCAGAAAGAGAAAGUAAAAAAACGAGUAUUUACAGAAAAAUUUUCUAUAAUUUAGCCUUCGAAAAUACAGUUAAUGAAUCAAAAAUUUGUAUUUUUUAUAUUUCAAAAUCAGCUAGUAGUUUAUUUUUCUAGAAGUGAUGCCUGACUUAUUUCUGUUCUGAAUUUAGAAAUCUAAAAUAUUUUAUAUUCCGGUAUAAUAUAAUCGC
rnacentral:lncRNA from 1 species